rnacentral:rRNA from 1 species
GUGGGGAAUAUUGGACUAUGGGCGCAAGCCUGAUCCAGCCAUGCCGCGUGAGUGAUGAAGGCCUUAGGGUUGUAAAGCUCUUUCACCGAUGAAGAUAAUGACGGUAGUCGGAGAAGAAGCCCCGGCUAACUUCGUGCCAGCAGCCGCGGUAAUACGAAGGGGGCUAGCGUUGUUCGGAUUUACUGGGCGUAAAGCGCACGUAGGCGGUUUGUUAAGUCAGGGGUGAAAUCCCGGAGCUCAACUCCGGAACUGCCUUUGAUACUGGCAAGCUAGAGUCCGGAAGAGGUAAGUGGAACUCCUAGUGUAGAGGUGGAAUUCGUAGAUAUUAGGAAGAACACCAGUGGCGAAGGCGGCUUACUGGUCCGGAACUGACGCUGAGGUGCGAAAGCGUGGGGAGCAAACAGGAUUAGAUACCCCAGUAGUCC